GACCACUCCGAUGGUCUAGUGGUUAGAGCGUCCGCCUCAGAUGCAAGAGGUCGUGUGUUCGAUCCCCGGUCGAGUUA